rnacentral:rRNA from 1 species
UACGAAGGGGGCUAGCGUUGCUCGGAAUCACUGGGCGUAAAGCGCACGUAGGCGGCUUCUUAAGUCAGGGGUGAAAUCCUGGAGCUCAACUCCGGAACUGCCUUUUAGACUGCAUCGCUUGAAUCCAGGAGAGGUGAGUGGAAUUCCGAGUGUAGAGGUGAAAUUCGUAGAUAUUCGGAAGAACACCAGUGGCGAAGGCGGCUCACUGGACUGGUAUUGACGCUGAGGUACGAAAGCGUGGGGAGCAAACAGG